UGUUGCAUCAAGUAAUAAAUAUUUUCUUACUUUUGAAUAAUAUCGAGACUACAAAUUCUGUUUUCAAUACAACUCAAGUAUCAUGGGAGGAUGCCCAGAAGAUCUGCCAUGUUCCAUCUGUAAGCUACAUCAUGUACACGAACAGACUUUAUACUGAGCUACCUGCAACAUUUAUUGCAUGGACGUCGUCACGAAAUCUUACAUCCGAUUGGACAUCUUUUUAUGGUUGCCUGGAUGUAUCAGUCAAGAUGAAUACAAGUGAGGAUGUAAAUAAAGCUUUAAACCAAUAUUUCCCAAACAGUUCAUACGCAAUAAAAUCGGACAGCGUAUUUAAAUGUGCAUAUUCCUGUACAUUAAAAGCCGAUUUGUUUACAUUUCAUAAACACAUUUGCAAGUGUAUUCAUCAGUACGAAUUGACGUCACAUGUAGAAA